AUGUCUGAAAAUACCAAAUCGAAUAUUCAAGAUCUAAAACUCUAAAAAUUAGAUCUUUAUUUCCUUAAAAAUCUCGCCUCUUCUUCCCUCGAAAAUACUGACUCUUUCGUUGGCUUGACAGUUUUGUCAGACGAGAAAAAGAGGAGCAGCAUUGCGGAGACAGCUUUCACGACUUGUUUCGUGUUAUUUACCAAAGAACAAUGCAACGUUAAAGGGCCGAGCGUGAUCGCAAAAAAGGAGAGGUGUUUGUCGCAAGCGCAUGUUGACGAUCGAGAAAUCUCGACCUAGCGGGAACCUCGUAAUGAGCCGGACUCGAUCGUUACGGUUUAAUUAGACCCGAGCGACGGCGAUAACGAGAAAAAGCGAGCGGAGAAACCGGGAGGAAAAAUCGAGUUUAUCGUCGCGUUAACCCUCCUGCUGAUUUCCUACCGGUGAAAACUGCUUGCCAACCAAGGGCGAGAAAGUCUCACUUUUCGCACCAUAUGUUCCGGUUAUAAAAAAUGGUUAUAAAAAAUGUUCCGUGAAUAUUUUCACCACGAAACUGCGCUCAAUAACAUGAAAACAGCAUAAUAAUUACGCUAAAAAACCUGAUAUCAUGCUAAUAAUUUCAUUUCAUUUCCCCGAGGGUGCAUUAAAUUUCGAACAUAUAGAAAUACUUUGACAGUCACAUCAACAUGAAACAUUCCCAGGUCCCACCGACUGCUCAACGCUCAAGAUUUAUCUUCCUCCCCGUGUGCACACGAGCAUUACGAGAUCCGCCACCUACCCAUCUCCUUCCUACGCCUCUCUCAUCCAAUAGUCGUCACGUUAAAAGGCGAAAAAAAGCGCCGCGCGAACAAAGGUUCGUGUCUAAAAGGGUUAAACUUCCGCGAAAGGUCACCCCUACACGUUAUUAUGUUCGUCAUCUGAGGCUGCUCUGCCCUUUCUCGUCCUGCUAAAUGUCGAUCAUCGACUUCGUCGUCGAAGGACCUUUUUCAUUUUCAUAUGUUUCCUUUUCUUCCAUUCGUCCGUCGAGAGAUCGUCACUUGCGCGAGAAGCGACUUCUACAGGUCAUUCUCGGGUGGAGUUGAGAACCGUUGCCGCAUAGGCGACGGGUCGCCGGCGUUGCACUGCGUCGCAGUCGAGUCGACGGGUUGCUGCUCUGCUGCUGCUGCUGCUGCUGCUCUGCUGCAGUCGUCAGCCGCGAUAUGGCGGCCCGCCCGGCCGAUGCAGGCUACGCUCCUCCGCAGCGUUCGCUCGCUAGCGAGGACACGGCGAGUCAGGGGGCUCUGACCUCUUCCCGUUCCCGUUCCCGUUCCCGUCGCCGCCUGCCUGCCUGCCUGCCUGCCUGCCUGCCUGCCUGCUCGCCUGCUCGCCUGCCGAUCGUUCGGUCUGCAACGUUUAGGGUGUGUUCCCACCGCGGCGCCGCGGCCUCCUCUCUAAUUGCCGCGGGUCCCUUUGUUCCUCCGCCGACGUACCGUCGUUUUCGCGAAAGGACACGCGAAACUCGCGUGUCUCCUAUCGAAUGCACCGCCGCCGGCCUCCUUCCAACCUCCUCUUCGCUCGUUGUUGCACGAAAAUGGACAGGCGAUUAGAGAACGAUGAAUACACCGCGACUGAAUGACGACCCAAUUUAUCGUUACUCGUUGUUGACAUUUUCGGAUGAUUUUGUUCGUCUGACUUCUGAAUUUGUUUAAUUGAGAAGUGACUCGGUUGUGUCGUUCCCUAAUCAAGCUAGAGCGCUGUUCUACUCGGAUGAGAAAGAAAAUUGAGAAAUACUAAGGAUAAGAACGCGUAUAAAAUGUUACUCACAUUCCUUGUCGAUAGAUGACUCCAUUGCGGUGGCCAUAGCGAUGCCUCUGCAACAAAAAUGUUCCGCAUUCGAGCAAACAUGGCGAGUGCAAAUUGUUCGCAGCUCAGAAAGCACGCUGCUGCUUGCUCUCCUCUCGCGGUUCGCUCGCUCGAACAGAGACGACGACGGAACACCUGCUUGUCGACUUCCUGAAGAAACGAACACUCGCUUGCACACACGAUGACACGACACGUCGAGAUCAAGCAAGAUCCUGAACGGCCGGCCGCUUCGUUCGCCGCUUAUAUCGCG
rnacentral:lncRNA from 1 species